UUUUCCCUGACAGCUUCAGUAUUCCCCAUAACAUAACCACAACCCUCCUAAACCUGAAGGUGCUAGUGUGGGUGAAAUAGUCCUGCACCUGAGAGAGGGGUGAACACCCCAUUGCUUUUGCUCACUUCAGACUUCUCUACAAAGAGGAGCUGCAACCUGAGUGUUCCCUUUCAUAACUGCCCUUCUCAAUGGGCACCCAGGGUCACUGCUCACCUGAGAUAUGAUCUCAAAGGACGGGUUCAUCACUACUUCAAAGUCCUUAACCCAUUACACAAGUGACAUCUUGCCACCCUUCCCCUCCCAAACCCCUGCAACU
rnacentral:lncRNA from 1 species